UACGUAGGGUGCAAGCGUUAAUCGGAAUUACUGGGCGUAAAGCGUGCGCAGGCGGUGAUGUAAGACAGAUGUGAAAUCCCCGGGCUCAACCUGGGAACUGCAUUUGUGACUGCAUCGCUGGAGUACGGCAGAGGGGGAUGGAAUUCCGCGUGUAGCAGUGAAAUGCGUAGAUAUGCGGAGGAACACCGAUGGCGAAGGCAAUCCCCUGGGCCUGUACUGACGCUGAGGCACGAAAGCGUGGGGAGCAAACAGG
rnacentral:rRNA from 1 species